rnacentral:rRNA from 1 species
GUAGGCCUUCGCGCAAAGUUGAAUAAACCUUAUCACUUAGAGGAAGGAGAAGUCGUAACAAGGUUUCCGUAGGUGAACCUGCGGAAGGAUCAUUC